CCUACGGGUGGCAGCAGUGAGGAAUAUUGGGCAAUGGGCGAGAGCCUGAACCAGCCAAGCCGCGUGAGGGAGUACUGCCCUCUGGGUUUUAAACCCUUUUUGUCGGGGAGCAAAAGCCGGACGUGUCCGGAUGUGAGAGUACCCGAAGAAAAAGCAUCGGCUAAGUCCGUGCCAGCAGCCGCGGUAUUACGGGGGGUGCGAGCGUUAUCGGGAUUGAUUGGGUUAAAGGGGUGCGAAGGCGGAUGUUUAAGUCAGCGGUCAAAUCGUGGGGCUAAACCUCAUCCAGCCGUGGAAACUGGGGAUCUAGAGUGUGCGAGAGGUAUGCGGAAUGCGUGGUGUAGCGGUGAAAUGCGUAGAUAUCACGCAGAACCCCGAUUGCGAAGGCAGCUUACCGGUGCACAACUGACGCUCAGGCACGAAAGCGUGGGUAGCGAACAGGAUUAGAUACCCUAGUAGUC
rnacentral:rRNA from 1 species